CAAAGAACUUUCUUUGUUGUUUUGUUGUGGUAGAGCCCCAAGACCAGGGCCUGCUGCAGGUCAAUAAAAUC
rnacentral:lncRNA from 1 species